CCUAAUUUUACCAACCUCAGAAGGAUGGAAGGCUGAGUCAACCUUGAGUCUGGUGAGAUUCGAACUGCUGGAGUGAGCAAUGAGCUAGCCUACAGUACUGCGUUCUAACCACUGUGCCAACAUGGCUGUAUUCUUGAUAUAUACUCCCAACAUUCUUCAUUUAUUCCUCCUUGGAACACCGCAGUGAGCAGCACAGCAAGAUUUCAGGGAAUUUUCUAAGUACUUGUUUCGGAAAGUGACAGGCUGAAAAUAUGGCAGAUAUUGAAUCGUGUUUUCUAUAAUAAAAAGUAACAGACCUGGUUGCCUUCCUCAUCUUAACCUCACAAUUGUUUGAAGCAGUGCUUCUCAACUUUGACUGCUUGAAGAUAUGUGGACCUCAACUCCCAGAAUGACAGGGAGUGUUGGCCAAAUGCCUUCCAGAAAACUAAUUUAAUAAGAAAACAGAUUGUCUUGUAAUCUGCAGCUCCCACACUGCAGAAACAUUUGGACCACACAACUUGACCAAGGUAAAGCAAU